CCCAGACUCCUACGGGAGGCAGCAGUGGGGAAUAUUGGACAAUGGGCGCAAGCCUGAUCCAGCCAUGCCGCGUGGGUGAUGAAGGCCCUAGGGUUGUAAAGCCCUUUCGGCGGGGAAGAUAAUGACGGUACCCGCAGAAGAAGCCCCGGCUAACUACGUGCCAGCAGCCGCGGUAAUACGUAGGUGACGAGCGUUGUCCGGAUUUACUGGGCGUAAAGAGCGCGCAGGCGGUCGUACAAGUCGAGUGUGAAAUCCCCCGGCUCAACUGGGGAACGUCGCUCGAUACUGUUCGACUUGAAGGCGGGAGAGGGAAGCGGAAUUCCCGGUGUAGUGGUGAAAUGCGUAGAUAUCGGGAGGAACACCAGUGGCGAAGGCGGCUUUCUGGCCCGUUCUUGACGCUGAGGCGCGAAAGCUAGGGUAGCAAACGGGAUUAGAUACCCUGGUAGUCCACGCCCUAAACGAUGCAUAUUUGGUGUGGGCAGUUCAUUCUGUCCGUGCCGGAGCUAACGCGUUAAAUAUGCCGCCUGGGGAGUACAGUCGCAAGGCUGAA
rnacentral:rRNA from 1 species